UCCAGGGUGUGGGAAGCGAACUGCUUUGCAGAGCCAGGACAGAGGGCAGGAGUGAUUAACCGAACAAGCCUGAUGACGCGCGGAUCCCGAGGACACCACCCACUGGCUCCCUAUUCUCUCUGACCCUCCUCCCUCCUCCCCUCCACGUCCAGUCUCCUAGCUGGCAGGUUGUGACAAUGGAAACCCUCAAGUACUUCUAUAGCCCGUGACUCACUCCUGGGAUACCCAAGUCCCCCAACAAACCAGCCAGUAAAAAAUGGUUUCUGAUCCACUUCAGCGACGUGUCGGGUAUGGUAGGUGACAGGUACUGCAGUGUGAUUGGUGCCUGGGCCAACCUGAGUUUUAGUGGUUUUCAAGCACAUCACAACCCCCGGCACCCUCACCGCUUAUUUGCUUCACAUUUCCCCAGCUGUGGAGAAAGACCUGUUUGUGCUGCCCUCAAACAAGAUCCCCUGGGAAACUUAGGCCAACAGCUCAAGAGAUGACCGUGCCGGUACCCACAUUGGUGCGGGUCUUGGGGAAGCGGCUUCGCAGGCUUCCACAGAUGCCAACCUGCUAACGGGGCUCCAGUUCCCAGAUGUGAGAUGACAAAGGUGAAGAUCUUCCAACUCCAGGAAUCCUGGCCAUUCCCCUCACCAGCAACUUCUUGAGCUCAAAGGCUCUGACCUGGACUCCAAGAUAAAUAUUUAAUGUAGACGGUGCUGCUGAGCUGUGAAAGGUCCCAGCUUCCUGUUUCUCACAAGAGAAGGCACAGCCUGGGCAAGGAGCUGAAGCCUGGCUACCAGUCCCAUCUCUAUGGAAAUGGGAGUCCGACCUGAACGGAGUAGCCAAGAAUACGGAGACUGUUCUGGAGGGGACAAGUAACCCAACAGCAAGGAACUGAAGCCAAGUCACCACCGAUAUACCGGCACAGACCUCUCGACUCUGUUUCCUCCCUGGGGCCAUCUCCUGACUUCAGCUCCUGCUGUACUGCCAACUAAGCUCUAUCAAUGGCCCCACGUAUGCCAGCUACUCACAGGAAUAGGGGCAAGCGAGGGAAAAAAGUGGAGUGACCCAUUUUGGGGCUCCAAGGGAUCUCUUGUGCACCGCCCUAUCUGGAAGUCUGAAUUUGUUUGGUUUGGUCACUGCAAAGUGAAGGAACUCUGGGGGUUGGGGACCUGGGGGAGACAAUAAGAAAAAACACAGUGCAGGUCAAGGAUGGUCAAUGUCAGACCUGGUAGCCAGGAUAGGUAUGUAAAGCCCACAGAAACAAGAUCUCAGUCCUACUUUGCAUUAAAUAUUUUCAUAGCACACAUAUCAGAAGCACCUCCUGGCUCUCAGCAUCUAAACCCCAAAGGCUAUGAAAAGAAUCAGUUCCUGCCAAGUUUAUCCAGCCUGUUCUCCAGGAGGCCCCAGCACUGACUAACAUCAUACCCAUCAUGCAUUGCUUUUCACGGGUGAACAAACAGAUGCCAUGGGCAGACAGGAUGCCUCUGAGAAGGACCAAGCUAGACAGGCUUCCUUCAGUUCUUACAAAGGAUGAAAGGAACAAGUAGCUGUCAGCCCUUGAGAAAACAGACUUCACAGGAGAGGAUAAAUGAAUGAUGACCUCAGAGGGAAUGCAAGCCAAGUUAGAUCAGCCACAGACAAGGCCACAGAACCAGGGGCUAAAAAAUUAGGUCUGCCUCAGCCUUCCAUCUCAGCUCAGGUAAGCUGAGAUAAGGGAGACAGAGAGGGUUGACUGGCUGCCCAGAGGAGACCAUGAGGUAGAACACUAGUAUCCAAACAAAGGCUAACCUGUCUUUCUGCCUCCUUGAAUUCUAGGGUGAACUGUCUCUACUGCAUCAUCACGAAGACUUGAUUUACCUCUAAGUGUCAAAUCCACUGUCCAGAGUAAGCAGAUUUUUAAAUAAAAUCUUAGAGGAAAAGCAAGAAGCAGGACGACGAGGAGCAGGAGGAAAGCCAUCUUUGCUCAGAGCAGACUACAAAGUAGGGAUUAGAUCCUGAUCUAGCAGGGGUCACUGUGACUCAGUGUUUCAUCCUUCUUUCCUAGGCUCUUGAGCAGCUUCCCACGACCCUGUAAAUGAGAGCAAACAUUACCUCAUCUCAUUAGGACUUUAGCUAAGGGAUAAGGCCACUGUUAACUCAGGCUGUCACUGGGAUAACAGAACAUAAAAUGCUCACUUGGCUUUUGUGCAGCUAAAAAUCUGGGCUCAUUUUUCUGGUCUGCAAAAUUGCACAGGGUGGCUCUAUUUGAUGUCAACGUUGCUAUUUGGGUCCAGCAGAUCUAGAUUUAGUCUUUCCACCUCUGUUGUCAUAAUCUGUCCAAGUCCCUCUCCAGGGCCCCAGCCUUUCCCUAUCUCCACCCCCAUGCUGUAGAGUGAUGCUUAUCUGCUCUUGUGAAUUCCCAGCCCCUUGGGAUCUAUCUGCUUUUCAGAGGACUCCAAGCUGCUCCGGUACUUCUAAGCUUGAUAGUAUGAUUCUGCAUCGACUCCCUCUGGCUUCUCACUUUUCUCAGGCUAUCUAUGGUCAUAUGCAAACUUAUUAAAUGACCACAAAACAUACUUUUGUGCUUAGUAAAUACUAUAUUUUCUGAGUUAUCGUUCUUCUUUUUCCCUCAAGGAGGGGCCUCUGCUAGAGAGGCCACAGAGGAUCAGGGGCUAGAAAAGAAGUUAGUGGUGGGCAUAACUCCAAGAAGAGGCAAGAGGCUCUUUUCUGGGGGGAAAGCGGAAACUCAGAAGAAACCAUUAAAUCAGAAACUAUGGCUGGAGGAUCCUUUCUUGAAAAGGGACUUCACUGGCAUUGUCAGAGAUCAGACAAGACAUCAGAAACCAGGCUUUCCCUCAACUCUGGAAUUUAACUGGGUCAGGGCCAAAUGAUCAGUCCCUCUACUGAGGAAAUAGACACAGG